rnacentral:rRNA from 1 species
GGCAUGGAUUAGGCAUGCAAGUCGAGCGAGAACCAAGGAAGCUUGCUUCUAAGGGGACAGCGGCGAAAGGGAGAGUAACAGGUAGAUACCUACCUCCAGGCUGGGAAUAGCGUCGGGAAACUGGCGGUAAUGCCCAAUAACAUCUACGGAUCAAAGCUCCGGCGCCUGGAGAUGGGUCUGCUCACUAUUAGCUAGUUGGUAAGGUAAUGGCUUACCAAGGCGACGAUGGUUAGCGGGCGUGAGAGCGUGGCCCGUCUCACUGGGACUGAGACACUGCCCAGACACCUACGGGUGGCUGCAGUCGAGAAUCUUCGGCAAUGGACGCAAGUCUGACCGAGCGAUGCCGCGUGCGGGAUGAAGGCCUUCGGGUUGUAAACCGCUGUCAGAGGGAAGGAAAUUUUGACCAAACCUCAGAGGAAGGUCGGGCUAAGUUCGUGCCAGCAGCCGCGGUAAGACGAACCGACCGAACGUUAUUCGGAAUUACUGGGCUUAAAGGGUGCGUAGGCGGCCAUGCAAGUCAGAUGUGAAAUCCCACGGCUCAACCGUGGAACUGCGUUUGAAACUGCAUGGCUUGAGGGAGAUAGGGGUGAGCGGAACUGAUGGUGGAGCGGUGAAAUGCGUUGAUAUCAUCAGGAACACCGGUGGCGAAGGCGGCUCACUGGGUCUCUUCUGACGCUGAGGCACGAAAGCUAGGGGAGCGAACGGGAUUAGAUACCCCGGUAGUCCUAGCUGUAAACGAUGAGCACUGGAUCGAGGGACCUCCCACAGUUUCUCGGUCGUAGCGAAAGUGUUAAGUGCUC